ACCAGUCGUAUUUCGAUUUUUGGGGACUAGCUGAUCGGCCGGUAAGAGCUACCUCUACCAUCAAUACAAAAAACAGACGCAUUGAAACGGAAAUACUCAAUCAACAAACUCAACUCUCUACCAUCAUAGAUACCAACUAUCAACUAUCUUUUUAUACCGAACUAAUGCUCUGUAUUAGGUAACCAACAAAAACAAGGAAACAGAAACCCCUUCUGAAUUUGGAAUUCUAACCAAUUAGGAAGCCAACACAAACACCACGACUAAAAAUAAACCCCGGUUUCUCUUUUCCGUUAUAUAGAAAAAACUAUAAAUCGAACCAAACAAUUCAGUUUUGCUUAAGAAAUCGAUUCCAGCAAAGAUUUACAGUAUCAAAUACGAAAGCCACUAAACAAAUAUUCGGAGAUGCACACCGAACCAGGGGGAAAAUUACCCGCCAAUCUUCCCUCACUGUAUUCGGAAAUAAUUACUCUCGGCUGGAAGGAUAAAGGGAGGAGGUAUAAGGAAACCUAUGAGAUUGGUUUUAGUUUUUUUAGGGAAUCGAAUUUAGGGAUAGGGUUUCUUUUGAAUCACAGAUGUGGAAGAGAUAAUUGCAGGUUAACUGGAGUUAAGAUUGGAGUUGAGUUGUGGUUACAAAUGGAGCUAGGAUUGUAGUUUAAAUUUAGGUUAAAUUGCAGAGAAAUUGAUGAUGUAGAAAUUCAGUGAAUGCUAAUACUCGGGUAAGCCUCCAGUGUGUCCUAAUUCGAGUAAUUUGGAUUGAAUUUCAGUUGUUGGGUUUGUAUGACUAUGAAAUGAACUGAAGUUGAGCUGUAGUAUGGUGGUAGUGGUAGCUUGAGAUGGUGUUGUUGUUGUGUGGCUGGUAUUUGGGUUAUAUAAACUAAGAUGUGACUGUGUAAUGGUGUUGAAGCCUUAACUGAAUGCUUAGGAUACCGUAGGUGUGUCAUGGUGGUGGUGAUGUAUGUAAUUGGAACUGCAGGUAGUUAGGGAAAAGAUCAGUUAUUGGAGUUUGUAGAAUACAUCUUAGUGGCGGUUGUUAAAUGUUAAUGGAUUUAAUGGUACUUGCAAUUUGAGACUGUUACAAUUGAUGUAGAGAUGGUGAAAUGGUGAUGGAAGUGAUGUUGCAGGUGCUAUAGGGGAUGGAUUAUAAUGUUAUGGAUGGUGCAUGAUGAGUAUUGCAUGGGUUGGGAUGUUUAACCAGUUUUGUGUUCCCGAUCCAUUUUUUUUCAAUCUGAUAUCCAAUCUGAUUCUGUGUUGUUUUCUCUUUUCCAAAUAAGACACUUUCUACAGUUUUUAAUCACAUAUAAGCAAGUCCAUUUGUUUUCAUAGUUAACUUCAAAAUUAGAUUGUAAGCACAGGUUAAGUGUAUUUCAAAUCCUAAAACUUGAACUUUCAAAAAACUGGGUCUUGAUUAAUUUUUUUGGCUGGAAUUUGCAGGUAAGUGCCUCAAGAAUGCAUGAAGAAUACUGGGGAAGUGUUUCACAGUACAAAGGACUAAUAUCUUUCUUAAUCCCUUAAUCUAUCAUAAUUUCAUUACUGAUAGAGGAUAUCCAUGUGCUUCUGAAUGUUCUCUUUCUGUUUUUCUUUAUACAUAUGAAUAUACACUUGCAUAGUUAUUACACUUUGAUAUGAUGAGAACUCAUCUCCAUGACUUCAUACAUAGAAUGCUAGCAAUGGGUGCUGACAAUGUUUUGGUGGUUGUAUUUGGCAGCUGUACGGUGCUCGAGAACGAUCUGUUGAAGGAUAUCGACUGCGUUCAAGCCGAUAAAAAGGUGAGAAAGGAGGCUUCACUGACUGCUGCUGCCACUGACUUCUGCGAUUAUCAUGCUUCCAGACCUCUGCAAUUCCUAAUUGACGCAGGGGGUUACAGAGAAGAAUGAGAUGGCAUAAGAUUGAAUUGGAGUUGAGUAAUUGCAGGGUUUGACUGCAGUUGAGAUUACUUGAGUUGGAGAUUAGUGUAGUGCUGUGGUGAAUGCAUGCUUGGAAAUAUGCCUGUCACUUUUAGUUGAAGCUCAUAAUGACCACGAUGGAUGACCAUACGGGGAACUCUUUUGAACGGAUAAGUAGCCGUGUCAGCCGGUUCGGGGUACAUAAGCCACCCGGGGGCAUUCGGGUAAGGCAAUACCGGAGGAUUCGGGAAAUGGGAGACGAGAUUAUCAUCCAGGGGCAUCACGCGUCUUCCCCCUCGAAACUCUUUCAUCCGUAUCCCACGCUUCAAAACAGGAGUCCCGGUGAACUCCGCAAGUGUAUAAGAUUUACCAUCGGCUGGGGGAGGUAGAUGGAGCUCUGGCUCUCCUGAGUAUUUACUCUCAUCCGAGCCGUUGCUCAUUGUUUCCUCUGACUCGUCCUAACCACUAGAAGAAUGAUCAUCAGAAGAACCAUUAGACAUGGGGCGUGUAUGGGGCCAAUGUGUGAAAAGAAAGAGGCGGUGAAAGAAGUGAAAAGGAAAGGUAAAAUAGGAGACUCAUAUAUAUAGGAAAUCUGGGAACAAAAGGCGGCAGUUACACAAGUGGACACUAUUACCAAAAAAGAAAACUGAAGAAGCCCUGCUAGAAGAAGUUGUAGCGUUGCCCAACUGACGGAAAGGGGAGUGAAAGUUCGGAUAAUGACGAUGAGGUUGUCUUACGACUGACCUCAUAGUCAGGGGACUAAUGUUGAUACAUGAAAAAUAAACUCCCCUUAACCAGGUCAAAGUGCCCUAAAGAAGGGAAAGGCCACAUAUGGGUCAUGGGGACUUGGGAACUAAGGCCCAAGUCUACCGAAGAAGUAUCCAUAAAGUGGAAGAGAUAAUGGAGGAAUUAACAAGAAAGAAGAAGGUUUUAUUAGAAAAGGAAUGACAUAAGUAGUAACUAAAGAAGUUUAUGACACAUAACAUGAUGUCAUAAAAGGAAUGGGCUUUUGGAAAGUCUAUAAAAAGAAGGACAAGGUAAAAUGGAAGGACAACUCUCUCUCAUACUAUUCUCAGAAAAGUGAGGUCAUUUUGAUACACUAGGACGGGUAGAACCCUACGAGAAUUCCGGUAUUGACAAGGUGAAAAUAUGGUGUUUUGUUAUUCGGGUUAUAAUAGUCUACUUCAUGUAUUU